ACCUGAGUAACCGAAGCUCCCAAAUCCAAGAGCAACUGCACCGUCUCUAUGUGUCCGUUCAAAGCCGCUACAUGAAGAGGUGUGAUUCCUCCAUCUGCUGCUCUGUUGAUCACUUCGUGAAGAACACUACACAACACAUUCAAACUAAUCAUCAAGUGACUAUAAAGCAUUACCUUAACUCUUUUACAAAAACAUGUUUUACCUUGGAUCAAAUCCAGCAACUGAAGAUUUCUUAUUCUUCAAUAGGCUCCAGCAAUUAGGAACACUUGGUAUAUACUCCGAAAGCAAGAUCCUGAUACACCGAGGAUGACCAUUUAAAGCCGCAAGGUGUAGAGCAGUACCGCCAUUUAAGUAAUCUGAUCUGUGAAUCUAAAACCCGAACAAUCAAGAAACACAAUCAUUGUCCCAACCCCUGAGAUAUUUUUAAAUCACAAUCAGUCAGAAAUCACAAUUUUAAAGUUGAUCAAAGUCUUACAUUAGCACCAAAGAGAAUCAGAAUCAAAACAACCUCCCAAUGACCAUGUUGACAAGCUUGCAUCAAAGCCGUCUGUUUCCAAAAAAUCUUGUAAUUCAGAUUACAUUAAAUCAAUCAAUAAUGCAAAGAAACAAAAAGGACACUAAAUCACAACAGACCUGUCCACGGUAGUUCCGGAGAUUAAUAUCAACUCCUGAUUCCACCAACAGAGAAACUAUCUGAAGAUAAACAAAACCCAAAAUCAGGAUCAUCACCAUCACCAUAAAAGUCAGAACUUUAGAAUCUCUAAUCUUACAAAGUACUGAUCUUUAAAGUAAUUAGAGUUACCUCGUGGUGGCCUUGAGCGGCGGAGUAAUGAAGAGGAGAGUUACGAACGCCAAAAGUAGAGUAACGAGCGAGUCUUGGGUUGUAAUCUAAGAGAGCUUUGGCUUCCUGUAAAUCGCCGUCUCUGGCCGCUGACACUAAGCGUUCGCCGGACGCAGAACAACCGAAUGAGUUUCCGACGAGGCUUAGAAACCUCAUCGUUUUACGAUACAAAGCUGAAAUUUUGAUCGGCUUAUCGACAAAUUCAAGAUGAACCCUAAGCAAUCGUCACCACCAUGAUCGAAAUCAACACAACAACAACACGAAAAAAUCUAUUUGAUUAUCUAUUUGCAGCAAACCCAAUUCGAGAAUCAGCUCGGACGAGGAAUCAGAGUCUCAGAUACCCAAUUCAAAGAAUUGAAUUUAAUUCGAAUGAUUGCAACAAGAAAAAGUUGGGUUCUUUUUUCCUCUGUUUUUGUUGUUGUUGUUCUUUAAUUCUCUUAUGUACAGAUCAUCAUCAUAAUGAUCCCGCUUUUAGAAAGAAGAGACUUUAAAGAAUUUACCCCAAAGAAAAUCAAAACUUUAAAAGAAUUGACCAAAAAAAAGCUUUAAACUUUAGAGGAAGGAUCAUCCAGAGAACAUCUCUGAAAAUGGUAAUCUAGACGAAGAUUAAAGAAUGGAGAAACUAAAGUAUUAAAAAAAGGAAAAUGAUUAAUAAAAAACAACAAAUUAGUGAUUAAUUUAUUUUGAACUAAAUAAGGAAAAAAGAAUGGAUCUUUCUAAUUUUUUUUUUUUUUUUUUGUGUGUGUGGAGGAUCUCUUAAUAUUUUGUGAUGGUGACUCUAAUUAAUAUUUGGUGACUCUAAUUAAUUGACUUUAAUUAUUUGAAGAAAAAAAAAAAAGACAGCCAAAGAGGAGGAGAAUGGUGUGGCCACUGGUUCGAUAAAACCAAUCGCCGGAAUUCGCGCGUUUUGUUUUAACCAAAAUCUUAUGAUUAUAAGAUUCUCUCACUAUGAAAAAAGGAAGACAUUCUUCAUCAAUCAUCACCAUAAGCAUUAAGCAAGCAUUUUCCUUUAUUUCAUAUAAAUAAAUCAAUCUUAUUUAAAAACAACAAAUCUUAUUAUAAUACAUAAUUAAAUGAAAAUAGCUUCUUUUUGUGCCAACGAAUAAUUCAAUUAACAAAUCUCCAAAAGUAACAUGACAUAUUGACAUUAGCGGAAAUAAAUCUAUAAUAAUGAAAUGUGGAGGAGCAUGUGGGUCGUGUCACGUCAUGGGUAUAAUUGCAUUUGCAUUAGCAAACCUAUAUAACAUUAAGCACUUCAGAGUUCAAAUUGUAACAAAUUGAAAACUCAUUGAUGAGUUUGUUGCCUAGCAUUGGGAUAUAUAAUGUGAUGGUAGUGGAACUGUGGAAGGGGAAGUCUGGGAAGAUACAAAUUUAGACUACCCUUUUCUAAUCGCGAUGUUGGUGAUGGAGGAACAGUAUUGAUGUAUCCUCGAUAUAUAUAUUUUUUAUUUGUUAAAAACUUUUGGCUACUUGUUUUUUUUUUUUUUGGCUUUAUUAAUCUUCCCCAAAAAGAGGCAUCGUUUAAAAGACUACAUUCGAAAUACAAAGAUGGAAUUAAAUAAAGCAGAAAAUAGUAGAUUUUUGAAACUCAUGUGAAGCAAUAAAUAGUGACCAUAGUGAAACACGGAGGUUGGAUUAGCCUUGAAUGAAUCUGAACCAAUUAGCAAGGAAGGAUUCGUAAUUGUGAGGAACCGUACGUUACGUGGAGGAAGAACUGUUUAGAUGUUGAAUUAGUCUCCUAUCAAGACAUGCGAGCUUUGCUCUAAGUAUGAGUUGAAUCUCCUUUACUAUGACUUGAGGAACGUGGGUUAGAACCAGAGGAAUGGAGCCUCGAGUUUCCCUCUCCCCACAAACAAUAAACAACAGCUUGAAAGAUAUAUGAGCUUACAUAUAGUUUUGAGUUUCGCGUUUCCCGAAGAGGAACGUACCAAGACGACGAUUUCUUCAAACAAAGCUGCAGGAGAGAUGUCUUAGUUGGUGAAAAAAGAAGACGAGACUUCAGAUGAGAAAGAACAAGCGAAGAAAAUGUGAGAUCUACUUUCUUUUUUUUUUCAGUGUGUAAUCACAUAUGUUGAAUGCAUUCUUGCAAAUUGUUGGUGCAUAUAAUUGUAUUUUUCUCAUGAGAUGUGGUUGAUGGUUUGUAAGCCAAUUUCCCUGGGCAUGUGUAUUUAUAGGAAAUAAAGUUCAACAUUUAUUCGAUGAAUAUUUGAUAAUACGUACUUUAAUUUGAGUAGAGAAGGUGAUAAAAACAAUAUGCGUAACUAAAAUAACAUUUUUUAUUUGUACCGUCGGGAAACUUCAAUAUAUGUUUGCAUGUAAGAUAAUACGUUUACAUGAAAAUAAAAUAGGAGAUUUUAGUAGUUUUAACUUUGAUAAUUAACAUAUAACAUUUUAAUAGUUUAUCAAAUAAAAAACAUUUUAAUAUUCAUGAAGCUUGAUAGAGUGAUUCGUGACGCUUGCUGCGCAAAAUGUCAUCUUCGCCCUCGAUACAUGGAGACCCUUUCUUUGUGUGACUGCUGCAAGACACACUCUCAUGGUAAUGUUGAUUUAUUGAUCUGGUUUAAGUUAAACCGUUUAACUAACGGGAAUGUCUUGUUGUAGGCAAUUAUUACCACCAUUCUUUUUUCAUGUAAUUGUCUUUUCAAAAGAGAAUUAAAAUCAGAAAUUAUAACAAGAAGAGUAGUAAAAAAAAAAGAAUGAAUUUUUGUCUAUAAUUGCAAGGCCAAUACGUAGCAACAACAAUAAUAAGCCCAGGGCAUUGGUGUUAGGAGCAUAAAAGCAUCUCCAACAGUAAUUUUUGGAGGAAUAUCUCAAGAUUAAAAAAAUAGAAAAUAAUAUAAAAAGCAAGAGAGUGUAGACAUAGUUUCUGGUUUGAGAAACUUUGAGAAACUGUAUCUCCACUUGUCUUCUUAUUAUUGGCCAAAUUCUUUUUUUAUAAUUUAUAAUUUAAAUAAAUAAUUUAUUUAUUAUAAAUUGAUUAAAAUAAUAUUUUUGAGACACUCACACAGUGUCUGAUGGAUGGAGAUGCUCUAAUGGGAAAUAAAGCAAAAAGCAAAACCUGAGACGUCGAUCGCCUUAAUCCUACACCGGAUCUUGAAUAUGAUCCACCCAUUAACCGGCUUUGCGGUUCAUCAACAUCUGAGCCACCAAGGCAGAGACUUGGAGGAAACCGCCGGCAGCUAAGAGACCGAAACGAUGAUGAUCUAGCAGAUUGUGGAAUUCGAGUACCGGUUCUUGACACAACCGGUCUACAACUGUAAUGAGGGUUAGUGAGGAGAGCUGUGUCUAAGACAUCAGAGGAGCAAGUGCAAAAGGACAAGGAGAUGCUUGUUCUUGAUGAUGUUGUUGUUGUUGCUGUUAUUGUAUGGGGAAGUUUGGUGAAAGAUACAAUGCCGUUGCGACAGAGAGGACAUGGGACAGAGCCUGGGGUGGCUUGUGAUGUCUUUGAUGAUGUUAUGUUUGUGGUGCUUAGGUAUAAUGCGCAGUUUGUGCAGAACUCAUGAGCACAUCCUGUUAUGUCACACACAACAAUCAAUUGAACGUUUUAAGCAAGAUCAAUUUUGAUAGGGAAAUCGAUACAUUACCAUCUGCUGCUACAGUGCAUUUUCUUUCCAAACAAACGGCACAAGGGUCACGACAUGGAGUGAGACAAUCGUUUUCUCGCCAGCCGCAUUCUCUGAAAUCCACAUACGAAAAAAGACCAAUCAGCCACAGAGAUUCUAGCGAUCAUACAGGGUGUUUCAGUUAGGUGAAAGAUUUACAUACUGAGCAAUCUUGACAAUGCUCAUUAAAGGAAGGCAGAGGAAAGGAGAGGGGACAUUUGGCAAAUGGAGUUGUGGUUGUUCUGUGGUUGGGUUCAGGAUUUCUUCCAGCCAGUUCCGGUGCCAUGAACGAGCAACCAUCAAUGGCGUCCAUCUAAAACCAAAAACAUGAAGCGAACUAAGACAUUGAGGUCUAUAUCAAACUGUUGGAUUGGAUUUAGCAGGCAGAGGAAUAGAGAGAUCUAAUACCCGUUGGAGUUUACGGCAGCUAAACAAGCACCCUUACUGAUCAAAAGCUGAGAAAAACAAAUGCCAAAUGAAUUCAUAUCUGAACUUUAAACGAAACAUAACAGAAGCAAAACUUUUUGAAAAAGAAAAAUCGAAUUGUUCGGCAUCAUGAUUGUCUAGUUAAGCAUGUAUACCUGGCAACACUGCGUGUUUCCGCCACAUGAAGCAUAAUGAAGAGCUGUACUCCCAGCACCUUCAAUAUACAAAACCAAAGAGCCAGAGCGAAAAACAAAACUAAGUCUUUCACUUAAAAGAAUCUCUCCAUUCAUUAUCAAAGUUAAUCAAUUGGGGAAAAUGAUAAUAACCUAUAAGAUCUAUUGUGGUUCCAUCUUCCACUGUGACCUGAGUAACCGAAGCUCCCAAAUCCAAGAGCAACUGCACCGUCUCUAUGUGUCCGUUCAAAGCCGCUACAUGAAGAGGUGUGAUUCCUUAUAUGAUUUGGAAUCGUAUAAUAAAAGCUAAAGAACCUCAAAAAAGAUCAUAAUUUUUUUGGAGACAAGAAUAAAGAUUUUGUGUGUGUUUAAUAUAAGAAAGAAGUUGUGUGUUUUGCUAUGGAGGACUGAUUCUUUGAGAAACUGAAUAAAGAAACAUAUGUGUCCAGUGACAGUCGUACGGAUCUGCUCAGGAUCUUGU
rnacentral:lncRNA from 1 species